AUUGAACGCUGGCGGCAGGCCUAACACAUGCAAGUCGAAUGGUAACAGGAAACAGCUUGCUGUUUCGCUGACGAGUGGCGGACGGGUGAGUAAUGUCUGGGAAACUGCCUGAUGGAGGGGGAUAACUACUGGAAACGGUAGUUAAUACCGCAUAACGUCGCAAGACCAAAGAGGGGGACCUUCGGGCCUCUUGCCAUCAGAUGUGCCCAGAUGGGAUUAGCUAGUAGGUGGGGUAACGGCUCACCUAGGCGACGAUCCCUAGCUGGUCUGAGAGGAUGACCAGCCACACUGGAACUGAGACACGGUCCAGACUCCUACGGGAGGCAGCAGUGGGGAAUAUUGCACAAUGGGCGCAAGCCUGAUGCAGCCAUGCCGCGUGUAUGAAGAAGGCCUUCGGGUUGUAAAGUACUUUCAGCGGGGAGGAAGGGAGUAAAGUUAAUACCUUUGCUCAUUGACGUUACCCGCAGAAGAAGCACCGGCUAACUCCGUG
rnacentral:rRNA from 1 species